AGUAAAUGGACAAAAGAAAUCAUCUCAAGAACUCAGGAGUCCUAUUGUUGUGGAUUAACUUUAUUUAGUUAUGCUUAUUAUGGAUAUAUUGUUUUCCAACCUCAACAUUUCCACUAUUCAGAGGUACAAAACUGCUUGAUUCUUUUAGUUUAUUAACUGGCAUUUAAAUCCCAUAGACAAAACAAAUCCUCCUUAGAGGGCAUCUUCUUCUCGCUGAGAUUCCUGCAUCGCAGGGGUUGGACUAGAUGACCCUCGGGGGUCCCUUCCAAUUCUGUGAUUCUGCGAGUUGAACUGAACUGGCUGACACAGAACGGUGGAGUUGGGAACCCCAAAGGUCAUCCACUCCAACCCCCUGCAAUGUAGGUUGGGGGGGUCCGGCAGUGGAGAGACAAGGCUUGUCACUCCCCCCCCAGACACUGGUUCACCUCCCCCCGCUUUGUCCCCCCGGCAGACCCCUCUGGGGCCCUGUGGGGCGGUCAGGCCUCGGCCACCCCCCCGCCCUGGCUGAGUCCGGAUGCCAGCGAGGCUGAAUCCUCCUGCGAGAUCAACGCUUACGCGCCGCAAGAGUCCCACUUUGUCCCCUGGGCGGAGGGGCUGGCGGGCGGAGGGGGCUGCCCCCGCGCCCUGGAGAGGGGCAAGUGGCUCAUCGCCAGCAUCCAGGCCCCCGACGCCGAGUUCGGGGUCAGCAGCGUCCUGCACACGGAGGAGGCCCUGCCUUGGAAGCAGCAGGAUGGGGUCAGCAGCGUCACCACCACCGCAGCUUCUGAAGAAAAACCCAAAUCGGAGAAGCCCAAAUCCGAGUAACGGACUUUGGGCAACCCAGCUCCCGGCUUGAUUUGUUGCCUGUCUCCGGAUCCCGUUGAAAGGGUGAAGUGGAUCGUAGGCCCCCGGGCUCCUGGGUCCCUCCUCUUUCGCUGCCCAGUCUUGCCCCACUGGUCCCUUGUGGGAAGCCCCCUUCCCCUUCCUUUUUGGGGGUCAGGGGUCUGCUUGGCUUCGCAUCCUGCAGAUUCACAGCUGUGAUUUUAAGGAGGGGGCCAGAUCUGUGGAUAGCAAAAGCCCCCCUUUCUGACAGUCCCUGCCCCUCCUCACUUGCGUGCUGUGAAAUGAUUAAUUGGAAGGGAGCCCUGAGGGUCAUCUAGUCCAACCUUCCGUAAGACAGGAAUCGCAACAAAAGCAUCUCUGA